rnacentral:rRNA from 1 species
AUUAGCUAGUUGGUAAGGUAACGGCCCACCAAGGCAGCGAUCAGUAGCCGGCCUGAGAGGGUGAACGGCCACAUUGGGACUGAGACACGGCCCAAACUCCUACGGGAGGCAGCAGUGGGGAAUAUUGCACAAUGGGGGAAACCCUGAUGCAGCGACGCCGCGUGAGUGAAGAAGUAUUUCGGUACGUAAAGCUCUAUCAGCAGGGAAGAAAAUGACGGUACCUGACUAAGAAGCCCCGGCUAACUACGUGCCAGCAGCCGCGGUAAUACGUAGGGGGCAAGCGUUAUCCGGAUUUACUGGGUGUAAAGGGAGCGUAGACGGCAGCGCAAGUCUGGAGUGAAAUGCCGGGGCCCAACCCCGGAACUGCUUUGGAAACUGUGCAGCUUGAGUGCGGGAGAGGUAAGUGGAAUUCCUAGUGUAGCGGUGAAAUGCGUAGAUAUUAGGAGGAACACCAGUGGCGAAGGCGGCUUACUGGACCGUAACUGACGUUGAGGCUCGAAAGCGUGGGGAGCAAACAGGAUUAGAUACCCUGGUAGUCCACGCCGUAAACGAUGAUUACUAGGUGUCGGGGGACCAAGGUCCUCCGGUGCCGGCGCAAACGCAUUAAGUAAUC